rfam:Trametes cinnabarina, BRFM137, WGS project CCBP01000000 data, contig: scf184950
UCCGACAUGGUGUAGUGGCUAACAUUAUCGCCUCUCACGCGAUAGCCCGGGGUUCGAUUCCCCGUGUCGGAA